rnacentral:rRNA from 1 species
CAGAGGGUGCAAGCGUUGUUCGGAAUUAUUGGGCGUAAAGCGCGUGUAGGCGGCUUUGCAAGUCGGGUGUGAAAGCCCUCAGCUCAACUGAGGAAGUGCGCCCGAAACUGCUUAGCUUGAGUGCCGGAGAGGGUGGCGGAAUUCCCCAAGUGGAGGUGAAAUUCGUAGAUAUGGGGAGGAACACCGGUGGCGAAGGCGGCCACCUGGACGGUAACUGACGCUGAGACGCGAAAGCGUGGGGAGCAAACAGGAUUAGAUACCCUGGUAGUCCACGCCGUAAACGAUGAGAACUAGGUGUCGUGGGUGUUGACCCCCGGCGGUGCCGUAGCUAACGCAUUAAGUUCUCCGCCUGGGAAGUACGGCCGCAAGGCUAA